CAGAGAGCUAGAACUAAAUAUAGUUAUUCCUUACAGAUAUAGGAGAAAUCUCUAGAGGGUUAUGGUAAAUAAUUUAUUAAAUAAUGUUAUGAAACAGACUUCUGAAAAUAGAAAUAGAAAGUACAGUUGUGAGUGAGACUAUUUGGAGAUUAUUUAAAUGAAUUAUGAGUGUGUGUAUACACACUUUCAAAUGACCAAGAAC
rnacentral:lncRNA from 1 species